rnacentral:rRNA from 1 species
CACGUAGGGCGCAAGCGUUGUCCGGAAUUAUUGGGCGUAAAGAGCUCGUAGGCGGUCUGUUGCGUCCGCUGUGAAAACUCGGGGCUUAACCCCGAGCCUGCAGUGGAUACGGGCAGACUAGAGGUAGGUAGGGGAGAAUGGAAUUCCCGGUGUAGCGGUGAAAUGCGCAGAUAUCGGGAGGAACACCGGUGGCGAAGGCGGCAUCCUGGACCAAUAUUGACGCUGAGGAGCGAAAGCCAGGGGAGCAAACGGG